rnacentral:rRNA from 1 species
CCCUUAGAUGUUCUGGGCUGCACGCGCGCUACACUGAUGCGUUCAACAAGUUGGACCUCGUCCGAGAGGAAAUCGGGGGAAUCUUUUGAAAACGUAUCGUGAUAGGGAUAGAUUAUUGUAAUUAUUAAUCUUCAACGAGGAAUUCCUAGUAAGCGCGAGUCAUCAGCUCGUGCUGAUUACGUCCCUGCCCUUUGUACACACCGCCCGUCGCUCCUACCGAUUGAGUGCUCAGGUGAAUAAUUCGGACUGCAGCAAUGUUUGGAUCCCGAACGUUGCAGCGGAAAGUUUAGUGAACCUUAUCACUUAGAGGAAGGAGAAGUCGUAACA